CUAAUGUACACCUACUCAUGAUCAAGGAUCUUCUCCGGCAACUCGUGAGCUGCAGGGCCAGGGAACCUUGUCCUUGCAAGUAUGUCCGCGACGUCCAAGUUCCUCAGCAGCACGUCCCCUUGCUUGCCGCCUGAAGCCAGGUGACAGCAGACGAAGCAGAAGCUCGUGUCGUGCAGCACGAACCGGAUCGAAACAGAGCCCUGCAUGCGCAAAGCAACCCACACACGCCAUCCAGGCAGCCCAUGAUGCCCGAGCCGAUGCACGACGCAUCCAGGUGACGGAUGAGCGGCCUAAGGCUGCUUCUCGCCCACACCGACGUGAAGAUGCCGACCAUCUGCUUGCUCCUGAUGCAUCUGAAGCCCUGUGAUCCCUCCACAGAGCCUUCGUCGUCCUUGGCGCUGCUGUUCGUGUUCGCCCCGCCUUCUUCUCGACACCUUCUGUUGAGCGCCUCCCCGAUCAGCGAGUUCCACUUGGCAGACACGCGGCUCUUCCUAGGACCCAGCACAUUUCUCGCGUUCAGUGGCACUAUCUCCUGGAACCUAAUUAGUAAAGCGUCAUCAGAUGAGACUGAGAGUGGUG
rnacentral:misc_RNA from 1 species